UACGUAGGGUGCGAGCGUUAAUCGGAAUUACUGGGCGUAAAGCGUGCGCAGGCGGUUCGUUAAGUCAGAUGUGAAAGCCCCGGGCUCAACCUGGGAACUGCAUUUGUGACUGCACAGCUGGAGUGCGGCAGAGGGGGAUGGAAUUCCGCGUGUAGCAGUGAAAUUCGUAGAUAUCGGGAGGAACACCAGUGGCGAAGGCGGCGACCUGGGCAGAUACUGGCGCUGAGGUGCGAAAGCGUGGGGAGCAAACAGG
rnacentral:rRNA from 1 species